rnacentral:rRNA from 1 species
UACAGAGGUCUCAAGCGUUGUUCGGAGUUACUGGGCGUAAAGGGCGCGUAGGCGGCUUGAUAAGCGUGCGGUGAAAGCCCGGGGCUCAACCCCGGGUCGGCCGUGCGAACUGUCGAGCUGGAGCACUGUAGAGGCAGGUGGAAUUCCGGGUGUAGCGGUGGAAUGCGUAGAGAUCCGGAAGAACACCGGUGGCGAAGGCGGCCUGCUGGGCAGUGGCUGACGCUGAGGCGCGACAGCGUGGGGAGCAAACAGG